GGGGGUACUGGUACAGAGUCAGCGUGGAGGCUAUAUACAGGGGGUACUGGUACAGAGUCAAUGUGGAGGCUAUAUACAGGGGGUACUGGUACAGAGUCAGCGUGGAGGCUAUAUACAGGGGGUACUGGUACAGAGUCAAUGUGGAGGCUAUAUACAGGGGGUACUGGUACAGAGUCAAUGUGGAGGCUAUAUACAGGAGGUACUGGUACAGAGUCAAUGUGGAGGCUAUAUACAGGGGGUACCGGUACAGAGUCAAUGUGGAGGCUAUAUACAGGGGCGUACUGGUACAGAGUCAAUGUGGAGGCUAUAUACAGGGGGUACUGGUACAGAGUCAAUGUGGAGGCUAUAUACAGGAGGUACUGGUACAGAGUCAAUGUGGAGACUAUAUACAGGAGGUACUGGUACAGAGUAAAUGUGGAGGCUAUAUACAGGAGGUACUGGUACAGAGUCAAUGUGGAGGCUAUAUACAGGAGGUACUGGUACAGUCAAUGUGGAGGCUAUAUACAGGGGGUACCGGUACAGAGUCAAUUUGCAGGGGCACUGGUUAUUUGAGGUAAUUGAGGCCAUAUGUAUUUGUUGGUAGAAUUAUGACUAUGCAUAGAUUAUGGUAAGAGAGUAGCAACCUUUUGGUCCUAGACUUGGUGCUCCGGUACCGCUUGCCGUGCGGUAGCAGACAGAACAGUCUAUGACUAGGGUGGCUGGAGUCUUUGACAAUUUUUAGGGCCUUCCUCUGAUACCGCUUGAUAUAGAGGUACUGGAUGGCAGGAAGCUUGACCCCAGUGAUGUACUGGGCCGUACAUACUACCCUCUGUAGUGCCUUGCGGUCGGACGCCGAGAAGUUGCCAUACCAGGCAGUGAUGCAACCUGUCAGGAUGCUCUCAAUGGUGCAGCUGUAGAACCUUUAGAGGAUCUGAGGACCCAUUCCAAAUCUUUUUAGUCUCCUGUGAGGGAAAAGGCUUUGUCGUGCCCUCUUCACGACUGUCUUGGUGUGUUUGGACCAUUCUAGUUUGUUGGUGAUGUGGACACCAAGGGAUGUGGAUUUCAACCUGUUCCACUACAGCUCGAUGAGAAUGGGGGCGUGCUCUGUCCUCCUUUUCCUGUAGUCCACAAGCAUCUCCUUUGUCUUGGUCACAUUGAGGAAGAGGUUGUUUUCCUGGCACCAUAUGGCCAGGUCUCUGACCUCCUCCCUAUAGGCUGUCUCGUCGUUGAUCAGGCCUACCACUGUUGUGUCAUCGGCAAACUUAAUGAUGGUGUUGGAGUCGUGCCUUGCAGUCAUGAGUGAACAGGGAGUACAGGAGGGGACUGAGCACGCACCCCUGAGGGGGCCCCUGUGUUGAGGAUCAGCGUGGCAGAUGUGUUGUUACCUACCCUGGAUGUCCAGGAUCCAGUUGCAGAGGGAGGUGUUGAGUCAGGUCGGGGAUUUGAACUUGCAACCUUUACGUUACUAGUCCAACGCUCUAACCACUAGGCUACCCUGCCGCCCCGGAUCUGUUGGGGCGGUAUGCAAAUUGGAGUGGGUCUAGGGUUUCUGGGAUAAUGAUGUUGAUGUGAGCCAAGACCAGGCUUUCAAAGCACUUCAUGGCUACAGACGUGAGUGCUACGGGUCGAUAGUCAUUUAGGCAGGUUACCUUAGUAUUCUUGGGCACAGGGACUAUGGUGGUCUGCUUGAAACAUGUUGGUAUUACAGAUUCAGUCAGGCAGGGACAGGUUGAAAAUGUCAGUGAAGACACUUGCCAGUUGGUCAGCGCAUGCUUGGAGUACAUGUCCUGGUAAUCCAUCUGGCCCUGCGGCCUUGUGAAUGUUGUUCUGUUUAAAGGUCUUAUUCACAUCGGCUACGACACGUGUGAUCACACAGUCAUAAUGGCUGAUGCUUUCAUGCAUGUUUCAGUGUUACUUGCCUCGAAGUGAGCAUAUAAGUCAUUUAGCUCUUCUGGUAGGCUCGUGUCACUGGGCAGCUCUCGGCUGUCCUUCCCUUUGUAGUCUGUAAUAGUUUGCAAGCCCUGCACAUCCGACGAGCGUCGGAGCAGGUGUAGUACGAUUCAAAACCUGCCAGCUGUAGGUUAAUCAUGUCGUCCUUCAACCACGACUCGGUGAAACAUAAUAUGUCACAGUUUUUAACGUCCCGUUGGUAGGAUAUAUGUGCUCGUAGUUCGUCUAUUUUAUUUUCAAUUGAUUGUAAGUUGGCUAAUAGGACCGAUGGUAAAAGUAGAUUACCCUCUUGGUGACGGAUCCUUACAAGGCACCCGGACAGUUGUCCACGAAAUCUCCGUCUUUUCCUUCUGGAGUAAAUCCUUCCCGUCCGACUCGUUGAAGAAGAAAAAUUCCUCCAGUCCAGUACGGGGUGAGUAAUUGCUGCCCUGAUAUCAAGAAACUCUUUUCGGUCAAAAGAGAGUGGCAGAAACAAAAUAUGUAAUAAAAAAUGCAAAAAAAAAAACACAAUUGGUUACGGGAUCAUAAAAUGGCUGCCAUCUCUUUCGGCACCGAUGAGAAUAAGUCAGCCCAGUGACACCCUUAUCAGAUCAACACGAAGAGUUAUCUAUCCAAAAUGGAGAUGUGUGGCUAAACCACGUAUCCAAUAUUUUUGGCUCUAUAACAAAGAUCAAACAGUAAAAACAUACACAUGAUCAAAUACAAAAAGGCCUGUGGUGUUGAUGGUAUCCUCAAUGAAUUUAUAAAAUAUACAGACAACAAAUUUCAAUUGGCUAUACUAAAACGCUUCAACAUCAUCCUUAGCUCUGGGAUCUUCACCAAUAUUUGGAACCAAGAACUGAUCACCCCAAUCCACAAAAGUGUAGACAAAUUUGACCCUAAUAACUACCGUUGGAUAUGUGUCAACAGCAACCUUGAGAAAAUAAUCUGCAUUAUCAUUAACAGUAGACUUGUAAAUGUUUUCAGUGAAAACAAUGUACUGAGCAAAUGUCAUUUUACCAAAUUAUUGUACGACAGAACAUGUAUUCACCCUGUACACCCUAAUUGACAAACAAACAGGGGGUACCUGUCUCAUGCUUUGUUGAUUUCAACUCAAUUUGGCAUAAGGGUCUGCUAUACAAAUUGGUGGAAAGUGAUGUUGGGGGAGAAACACAUUAUAAAAUCCAUGUACACACACAACACGUGUACAGUUAAAAUGAGCAAAAAACACACACAUUUAUUCCACAGGGCCGUGGGGUGAGACAGGGAUGCAGCUUAAGCCCCACCCUCUUCAACAUAUAUAUCAACAAAUUGGUGAGGGCACUGGAACAGUCUGCAGCACCCAGCCUCACCCUACUAGAAUCUGAAGUCAAAUGUCUACUGUUUGCUGAUGAUCUGGUGCUUCUGUCACCAACCAAGAAGGGCCUACAGCAGCACCUAGAUCUUCUGCACAGAUUCUGCCAGACCUGGGCCCUGACAGUAAAUCCCAGUAAAACAAAAAAUAAUGGUGUUCCAAAAAAGGUCCAGUCGCCAUGGCAACACAUACAAAUUCCAUCUCGACACAGUUGCCCUGGAAACAGAGCAGGUGUUCUCAAACUGGGGUAUGGGUACGCGCAAUGCCGUCAGGGAUACGCAAAAUUAAACAUUUGAUUCACAUGUUUUUUUCUUCACAUUUUGAAACAGUCGAUUUAUAUUUUCCAACGGUAUAUUUUCGGUAUAUUUUCCAAUACAUUUGGGUGAGGUUUUUUUUUCCGCCUAAGUAACCUCGUUUCACUACCAAAAAUAAAAUCAAACCAUCUAGUGUUCAGCUAAAUAACAACACAAUGUCAAAUACAGGUAGUCUAGUCAAAUAAUUAACAUCCAAUCACAUUAACCGUUACUCUCUCGCGGGAAUUCCACUAACGGUCCAUAUGUAGCCAAACGUAGCUGCUGCUCAUGUUGGAAUCUUUACUGAUGGUUUUAUAUGUAAGAUGAUUAAAUAAAGAGCAAAAUUAUUGAUUAUUAUUAUUAUUAUUUGUGCCCUGGUCCUAUAAGAGCUCUUUGUCACUUCCCACAAGCCAGGUUGCUCAUUCUUAUGUUUAAUAAAUGUGUGUGGCAGGCUUGCAAUGAUGACAAAAAUCAACAUUUGAGAGAACACUAGUGCUAGAUGGGGUAUGCAGCUGGAGGUUGAAUGUUUGCAGGGGUACGGGACUAUCAACAUUUUGCCAACCAAUGCCGUAGAGCACACAAAAAACAAUACAUACCUCAGCCUAAACAUCAGCGCUUACAGGUAACUUCAACAAAGUUGAACGAUCUGAGAGACAAUGCAAGAAGGGCCUUCUAUGCCAUCAAUAGGAACAUAAAAUCCGACAUACCAAUUAGGAUCUGGCUAAAAAUACUUGAAUCAGUUACAGAACCCAUUGCCCUUCGUGGUUAUGAGGUCUGGGGUCCGCUCACCAACCAAAAAUUCAAAAAAUGGGACAAACACCAAAUUAAGACUCUACGUGCAGAAUUCUGCGAAAAUAUCCUAUGUGUACAAUGUAAAACACCUAAUAAAGCAUUCAGAGCAGAAUUAGGCCGAUACCCGCUAAUUAGCCAAAUCCAGAAAAGAGCCGUUAAAUUCUACAACCACCUAAAAGGAAGCAAUUCCCAAACCUUCCAUAACAAAGCCAUCAUCUACAGAGAGAUGAACCUGGAGAAGUGUCCCCUAAGCAAGCUGGUCCUGGGGCUCUGUUCACAAACACAAACAGACCUCACAAAGCCCCGGGACAGCAACACAAUUAGACCCAACCAAAUCAUGAGAAAAACAAAAGAUACAGACGUUGUGAGCAUAGCCUUGCUAUUGAGAAAGGCCGCCGUAGGCAGACAUGACUCUCAACAGAAGACAGGCUAUGUGCAACACUGCCCACAAAUUGAGGUGGAAACUGAGCUGCACUUCCUAACCUCCUGCCAAAUGUAUGACCAUAUUAGAGACACAUAUUUCCCUCAGAUUACACAGAUCCACAAGGAAUUUGAAAAACAAACCCAAUUUUGAUAAAUUCCCAUAUCUAUUGGGUGAAAUACCACAGUGUUUCAUCACAGCAGCAAGAUGUGACCUGUUGCCACAAGAAAAGGGCAAUCAGUGAAGAACAAACACCAUUGUAAAUACAACCCAUAUUUAUGCUUAUUUAUUUUCCAUUUUGUACUUUAACUAUUUUCACAUUGUUACAACACUGUGAAUAGACAUUAAAUUACUUUUGAAAUGUAUUUAUUAUUUUGGAACUUCUGUGAGUGUAAUGUUAUCUGUUAAUUUUGAUUGUUUAUUACACUUUUGUUUAUAAUCUACUUCACUUGUUUUGGCAAUGUUAACAUAUGUUUCCCAAGCCAAUAAAGCCCAUGGAUUGAAUUGAAUUGAGAAGGGGGUGAGACAGAGAGCAAGAGAGAGAGGGAGAAGUGGGGAGUGAGAGAGAGAGAGAGAGACAGCAAGACAUAAGGAGAUGGAGAAGGGAUGAGAGAGGGAGAAGUGGGGAGUGAGAGAGAGAGACAGCAAGACAUAAGGAGACGGAGAAGGGAUGAGAGAGGGAGAAAGAGAGAGAAAGAAAGAGAGAUAAUCAGAGAGAGAGAUACAUAGAGAUAGGGAGAGAUAAUGAGAGAGAUACAUAGAGAUAGGGAGAGAUAAUGAGAGAGAGAUACAUCGAGAUAGGGAGAGAUAAUGAGAGAGAUACAUAGAGAUGGGGAGAGAUAAUGAGAGAGAUACAGUGUACAUAGAGAGAGGGAGAGAUAAUGAGAGAGAUACAUAGAGAUAGGGAGAAAUAAUGAGAGCGAUACAUAGAGGGAGGGAGAGAUAAUGAGAGAGAUGCAUAGAGAUGGGGAGCGAUAAUGAGAGAGAUACAGUGUACAUAGAGAGAGGGAGAGAUAAUGAGAGAGAUACAUAGAGAUAGGGAGAGAUAAUGAGAGAGAUACAUAGAGAUCGGGAGAGAUAAUGAGAGCGAUACAUAGAGAUAGGGAGAGAUAAUGAGAGAGAUACAUAGAGGGAGGGAGAGAUAAUGAGAGAAAGAAAAAAAAUAAAGUAAAUGGAAGUAGAAUAGAAGAAACAUUUUAGAAUACAGUGCGUUUGGAAAGUAUUCAGACCCCUUGACUUUUUACAGCUUUAUUCAAAAGUGGAUUAAACUCAUGUUUUUCCUCAUCAAUCUACAUACGAUACCCCAUAAUUACAAAGCAAGACCAAUAACCUGAUGGUCACUCUGACAGAGUUCCAGAGUUCCUCUGUGAAAGACAACCAUCUCUGCAGCACUCCACCAAUCAGGCCUUUAUGGUAGAGUUACCAGACUGAAGCCACUCCUCAGUAAAAGGCACACGACAGCCCACUUGGUGUUUUGCCAAGAUACAAAUCAAAUCAAAUCAAAUUU
ensembl:lncRNA